rnacentral:rRNA from 1 species
UACGUAGGGUGCAAGCGUUGUCCGGAAUUAUUGGCGUAAAGAGCUCGUAGGCGGUCUGUUGCGUCGGCUGUGAAAACCCGGGGCUCAACUCCGGGCCUGCAGCCGAUACGGGCAGACUAGAGUUCGGCAGGGGAGACUGGAAUUCCUGGUGUAGCGGUGAAAUGCGCAGAUAUCAGGAGGAACACCGGUGGCGAAGGCGGGUCUCUGGGCCGAUACUGACGCUGAGGAGCGAAAGCGUGGGGAGCGAACAGG